rnacentral:misc_RNA from 1 species
UUUCCGUAGGUGAACCUGCGGAAGGAUCAUUACCGAGUGAGGGUCUCUCAGGCCCGACCUCCUACCCUGUGUCUUUGUGACCUUGUUGCUUUGGCGGGCCCGCCUCGAUGAGAUGCCGCCGGAAGCUCACCGCUUUGGGCCCGUGCCCGUCAGUAGCCCCCUUAAAUUCUUAAUAAACCUGUCGUCUGAGUUAAUGGAAAUAAUGAAAAAAACCUUUCAACAACGGAUCCCUUGGUUUUUGUAUCCAUGAAGAACGCAGCUGAUCGGAAGGGCACACGC